rnacentral:rRNA from 1 species
GACGAACGCUGGCGGCGUACUUAACACAUGCAAGUCGAACGGAAAGGCCCUGCUUGCAGGGUACUCGAGUGGCGAACGGGUGAGUAACACGUGGGUGAUCUGCCCUGCACUUCGGGAUAAGCCUGGGAAACUGGGUCUAAUACCGGAUAGGAGCCAUUUUUAGUGUGAUGGUUGGAAAGUUUUUUCGGUGUAGGAUGAGCUCGCGGCCUAUCAGCUUGUUGGUGGGGUAAUGGCCUACCAAGGCGGCGACGGGUAGCCGGCCUGAGAGGGUGGACGGCCACAUUGGGACUGAGAUACGGCCCAGACUCCUACGGGAGGCAGCAGUGGGGAAUAUUGCACAAUGGGCGCAAGCCUGAUGCAGCGACGCCGCGUGGGGGAUGACGGCCUUCGGGUUGUAAACUCCUUUCGCUAGGGACGAAGCUUUUGUGACGGUACCUAGAUAAGAAGCACCGGCUAACUACGUG